UUAGGAGAUAAUGUGAAAAAGAGGUUUGUUUUAGGGGAAAGACAUGCUUUCAAAGAUUUUUCAUCACAUUACUCAGCACUUAAUUCAGUUAUCCUAACAAAUAGCCAUUGAACUUAUUUAGCAAAGUCCUCCCAUAGCAUCAUUUUAUAUUGAAUAUGUACUUUUAACUUUUUAAUUUCCUGAUAGCCACUUUGGGAAUCCCAGUCUCAAAUUGAAGCAUAUUGCCAGCAAAACAGUAAACAAUUACUUUUGAAGAUUUUCGUGACUUGCAAGUGUUUUCUGGUUUUGUUUAGUUUUUCAAACAUUGUUUUCAGAGAAGUAUAUCAGAGAACUCCCUGGUAGCAAUGGACUUCUCAGGUCAGAAAAGCAGAGUUAUAGAAAAUCCCACUGAAGCUCUUUCAGUUGCAGUUGAAGAAGGACUCGCUUGGAGGAAAAAAAGGAUGUUUGCAACUGGGCAGUCACAGUAGCCCCACUGCCUCCUCACAGACCUCUGCCACAAACGUGGGUAUGUCUGCUCCUAGCCAUGGUCACUGAGCUGAUGUGCAGCUUGACAUGACUUUAGUGACAUGUGGUCACUAAGUGAUGGGGGACAUAUAUGUAGUGAAAUUGCAGUCACUGCAAGCAAACCUUUGUAUUCAUUCAUUUUAUUUCUUUAGCCAUCCAUCGGUCCCAGCCAUGGUUUCACCACAAGAUUUCCAGAGAUGAAGCUCAGCGAUUGAUUAUUCAGCAAGGACUUGUGGAUGGGUGGAAGAUGAUGGUGAAAUGUUCCACACGCUAGAUGAUGGCCACACUAGAUUUAUGGAUCUAAUCCAGCUAGUGGAGUUCUACCAACUCAAGAAGGGUGUUCUUCCUUGCAAGUUGAAACAUUAUUGUUCUAGGAUUGCUCUGUAGCUGAACCAGAAGUGAUGUGUUAAACUGUUGAAGAAAAAAAGACUCAAGGGGAAAAAUAUUAAAAAGAGAGCAUAAAUAAGGGUAAAAAAUACUGUGGUGAAAGGAAUAUUUCACCUGCAAGUUAUAAAAAAAUAUUUUGUGCAUUGCAAAUAAGCAAAAACUUGGAUUGGCAUUACAAUCCUCAUUUAAAAUUUGUAAGUUGAAAUUAAACCUUAGGAAAAAAUGAUUUGUUGUGUUCUUUUGUGGUUUCAUAUAUUACUGUAUUUUCUUCAAAUAUGAAUACUUCAAACAUUUAUCUGCUCCUUUUUAAAAUAUGACAGCCCUAGAAUUCUCAAACACCAAAUAUGAAGAAGAAAUCAGGUUUCAGAAUGACCUUUUUGCAAACUGAAUUCCAGUUAUACUACUUUUUUAAUAUUAAGAAGCAUGAC